UCCCUUUUAGCUCAGUUGGUAGAGCGUGUCACUAGUAUAUGGAAGGAUCCCCAUGUCAUGAUGAGGCCAGUUGUUCAAGUCGGCUAGAGGGAA